rnacentral:rRNA from 1 species
AUUGAACGCUGGCGGCAUGCUUUACACAUGCAAGUCGAACGGUAACAGGCCGCAAGGUGCUGACGAGUGGCGAACGGGUGAGUAAUGCAUCGGAACGUGCCCAGUCGUGGGGGAUAACGCAGCGAAAGCUGUGCUAAUACCGCAUACGAUCUAUGGAUGAAAGCGGGGGACCGUAAGGCCUCGCGCGAUUGGAGCGGCCGAUGUCAGAUUAGGUAGUUGGUGGGGUAAAGGCCUACCAAGCCGACGAUCUGUAGCUGGUCUGAGAGGACGACCAGCCACACUGGGACUGAGACACGGCCCAGACUCCUACGGGAGGCAGCAGUGGGGAAUUUUGGACAAUGGGCGCAAGCCUGAUCCAGCAAUGCCGCGUGCAGGAAGAAGGCCUUCGGGUUGUAAACUGCUUUUGUACGGAACGAAACGGUCUGGGUUAAUACCCUGGGCUAAUGACGGUACCGUAAGAAUAAGCACCGGCUAACUACGUGCCAGCCGCUGCGGUAAGAC